UCCCACCUGUAAGCAAUACAUAUACACCACAUCUGGUACUAAAGGAUGCAUGAAGGGGUUUGUCAUUAGAUUGGUACUCAGACAUUUCCUCUGUCUCAAUGACGAUUUAUAUAUAACUCAGUACUCACAAAAUAAUACAAUAAAGACAAGGAUUUCCAAUGACUGGCAAUGAGUCAUUUCAUUUUACAAACGCAUGAGUCAAUCGGGUUACGGUAGGUGUGGACGGUGGGCGGAGUAAAAAGAUUACGUCAUCGUCGAGACGCGACACUCUAAAGUGAUUCGUGCUCAGCAUAAGGUAAGCGCCAAUCAGGGCUCUCGCUCGCCAGUACUACGCUCUCAUUGGACAGAUGCCAUGCGUGGCAACUGUGACGUGGGGGACUGCCCAUUCUCUGUACAACUAUUAGAGCUGCUACAGACUGCGUGAAGUUUUAGUUUCGUCUCGACAUUAGUGUGGUGAACUUCAACAUUACAACAUUGUGACUCUCUUGAAUGGCGACGGUAUUUAACUUCGGUGAACACGACCGCGUGGAAAAUUAAACAUUUUCGAUGUCAGUUUCCUGAAGGAAAACUUGCAUGACAAAAUUGCCUGAAAUAUGCACGGUGAUUAAUGUAUAUAUUGGAAGAAGUAAUUAUUACUGAAUACGUGUGACAAGGAUUAAGUAUAUUAUAAGAAUAUCGUUCAAGCAAAGAAAACUAUAAGAAUAAUCACUAGACAUAAUUUGGCAGUAACCCCACGGUGCAUAGAUAGUGGAAAGGUGCUGGUCAUCGACAUACAAAGAAAAAUAUAAUGACUAGAGGAGUGAAAAGAGUAGAAAAGAUGGUGAAGACGUCUGCGGCUUUGUUUACAAAAGGGUGCUUCGGCAGCUGGCACCGUCUGCCCGAGCGUUCGAAGUUAAAGAGACAGGCUAGAUUGAGGCGACAGCUUCAAGAACAUUCAAGAAUUACAGCUAUAAAGGAUUCCUACCUGAAUUGUGUGGUUAUAUGUUAAGAUUGUAAACUAAGUAAAUAAUUAAUGACUCUCAGGUGUGUCAUAGAGUUGUCACUGUAGGGUAAAUGUCAGUGAGACAGGUAUAUGAGGUAUGUGUGACAGGUAAUGUGGUUUCCCUAUGUGCCUACGUUUCAGUCAAUAUUAACAAUUGUCUUUGUAAACUACAGAAGGUUCCGUUUAACGCAUUCAAAGGUUGAAUACCCUCGUGAGUACUUAGGUAAGGGUGACGGAUGAUUCAUCUCCUUUCUUAGCUUCCGUGACUCACUGAGGCCGACCCGACACCCAGGCACCCACCGAGGUAGAAUUAGUUACUUGCUAUAUGACCACAUUUGGCUUUCCGCCUUCAGUAUGGCAUCCUCGCACACACCCUCAUGCCCCCAUAUGGAUUUGGCAGCUGUUUCUGUGAGGCUAUAUCUCUAAGGUGGAUGUCUGUGAGCAUUGCCAACAGUUUUUCUCCGUAAAACAUCCGCGGAGUUCUCUUUUAUGUGUGUGGCACGCCUAGCUGACGAGAUCUGACGCCCCGGGAGUGGCCUGUACACUCGAAAGGUUAAAUAUAUCGCGAGGUAGUCAUUUAGUGUUAAACCUAUGCCUUCUUGUACGGUAAAAUGUCAAGAAAUCAGAUGAUCUGUUAACCUUCUUUCCUUUUGGCAGGUGGACUGUGACAUGAAGGAGAGUAAGCAGUGCCGGUAAAGUUUGCCAGUUCGUCAGAAAUCCAUGGCAACCGCCAUUCAUCGGCACGACAGAUGACAGGCCAAAAGACGGGGAAAGAAGCGGGACAGUGUGUCAAGGUGGCCUGUACGCGGAUGUGUUCACCGCCACGACGGCCGCUUACAUCACGAGUACGCGAUCAGGAACGACAUGCCAGGAUCGUGUCGCUGAGAUCAAAGGAUAAUUUGGACGGUGACGCAUCUGGGACACCUUGUUGUCAGUGUCAUUAAUCACUACAUCUUCGAGGAAUGUCUGGCACGUAAGUUUAUUUAUUACCUAUUAUCGAGUUCUGCGUAAAGACUGAGGCACACUCCCCUGUUGCUUACAACACGGAGAGCAGGCCUUGUGGUCUGUGCUCUGGUAGAAUAAACGUGAAAACGCGUGGAA